CUGCGAUACCAGAUACAACCUGUGGAGAGCGGUGGCACUGUUUUUUCAUAUCCUAGAUAACCCCCUUUAACAGCAGCACCGCUCUAAGGGCAAUCACUUUUAGACAUGGACACGGCUGUAUGCCAAAAGACAGGCUUUCUGGCCCAAGUCUGAUGGGAGUAGUAUAUUUAGUCACAGACCAUCUCGAUUAGAGACCUCCUCGUCUUGUGUGGGCAGCCAUACUCAGCCACUAUUUGUUAGAUGCAGACGGGUAACAUCACCACAGAGAAAAGAAGGAAAAAAAUAAAAAUAUGGCCAGACAGGAGAGCCUUUCCCAAAAGUAGCGCUUUUCGACAACUUCUAGCAUGCUGGGAGUUGUAGUUCUAUAGCCACUGGCCAGAAAUCAAUAAAGCGUGCAUUACCAGCUCACAAGUACAAACAGUGGUCCUGUGGCUAAAUAUGGCUGCCUACACAUACCAAGUAUAAGAGCAAAGGAGUCCCUUAGCAUAGAAGUCAGCAACCUCACGCACUCCAGUGGUUGUGAAACUACAACUCCCAGCAUGCUACAGGAGUGUGCAUGUUGAGAGUUGUAGCAGGAGGCUGCUCAAUCCUGCUACAGCAAGUGCAAUACGUUUGCCUUUGGUCUCAUUUGAAAGUGCCAAAUCUGAACCUUGUCCACGCGAUGGGUUAUACACACACACACACACGCCCGUCCUGUGGCCCUUUGGUAUGACCCUCAUAUGUGCCAUCUAGGAGCACAUGAACAAUGCCACCUGACGGCAUCCACAUUUCAUGCUAAAAGGUGCAAGGUGACAUGAACAAGUCCUGCAUGUAGCAGACGGGUCCGCUGGUGGCAGGGUGAAUGGGUUGUAUCGUUCUACUCCAUUCACAUCCAGAGCUGUAUUAAAAAAAAAAAAAAAACUGCAUUCCUCUACACAUUUGCACUGAGGCGGCAGGAUCAGACAUCUUGCUGCUGCCCCAGUGUUAGCACGGACCAGGAUAGGCCUUGUUCAGUAGUCUGAUGCAAGGGGGAUUGGGUCAAACCUUCCAUCUUGCAGGAGAGAUGGGGGGAACAUAACAGGAUCUUAAAGGGAUCAGCAAACGCCAGCUGUUCUGAAACUACAACUCCCAGAAUCUUCCUUUUACUUCUAUGGGAGUUGGAAAAACAGAAAAGUGUGCAUGAUGGGAGCUGUAGUUUCACAGCAGCUG